AGAGGAACUCCACGAAUCUGCAC
rnacentral:siRNA from 1 species